UCAAAGAAGAAGACGUGAAUCCUGCUCUAUAGGCUAUGAGAAGCCGUGAACCGAUGUCAGUGGGAAUUGAUCUGUUUGUUCCAUUUAAAGAAAAUGAAACACCACAAUACGGCAUAAUUACAUUUUUGCCCCGGGAGAGGAGCAUGGUGGCGGGGUAGUGACAACUUCGGACUCGCUUCUUUUCCUUGGCACGCGCGCUGAUCCAGUUGGCAGCAGUAGCUGGGUUCUGAUUCUGAGAAGAUGACGGAGGUGGUAGAGCCAAAGCUAGACUUUGCAUCAUCAGGUCGCUCUGGGAGAAGGAAUGCCCUGCCAGACAUCCUGGGGUCACCGGCUGGGCUGAACCCCACUGACUUGCCACUCAAACUGGCUGAACUCAACCUCACAGAUGGUCCGGGAGGAGUCCAGUCUCCCACAGCGGAGGAGGCUCCACACCCUACAGAGAGCUCAGAGGACAAGGAGGGAUCGUAAGGCAGCCUGGUGGGGGGCUAACUAGCCACGAUGUUUACCUCCUGCAAGGCUGACGAGAUCACUGGAGAAGAGAGAUGGCUGCCUGAAAUAAUACACAAGGACCCAUGAAGGACCGAUGGGCUUGUCUGAACCUCAGCUGAGCUGCCAAAAGAGGGGGAUAAUCAGGGGAAGAGAAGGAUGGAAGGAUAGACAGACACUAAUGACUUGGCUGCAAGAGGCUGAUCACACAGUCUGAAAAGACACUAACAAAAGCGUUGGUGAGGGUGGGUGGAUGGAGCACUUCUACUCCCACACACGUACACACACACACACACACACACUGCCAUGGGAAACACAUAUGCUGAUUAUAUGCUGUUGUACACUACACAUCUUUUUUUAAUAAUAUAAUUAAACUAAGUGAACAAUUGAAAAUAUACAGUACUAUUCCCAGCUGACUUCUAUCUUACAGGACCUGUCACUGAUUUAAUCAGAUGGGACAGUGGGUGGAUCCUAGUGGCCUAUAGUAGUUCUGAGGUUUCUGAUUGGUCUGGAACAUAUAAGAUAAACAUGUAAUAUAAUGUACUGUAUGUAGAUGAGAAAUUACGUGAGUGAGAUAAUUAUGCGUAUAAUAAGGGGCAGCUGGCUUCCUCUUUUUUUUGUCUCACUGUUUGAUGUUUGAAGUAUGAAUUCAGAUCUUACACUUUACUUUAGAGCCUAUGGGUUUUAAAAUGUUGUAAUGGACUACAGCGCUAAUGAUUGCGGUAUAGAUCAUAAUUGAUGUGAUUGUUACCUGAAGUGUGGACAUUUCUUUAUUUGCCAAGUCUAGUUCACCUCAUUAGUAAAGCUAAUGUUAUUGGGCAUUAUCCAAUCACUAUCUCUUUAGCAUUCCUUAAAUAAUCUAAAAUGGUGUCUCACUGCCUAACACUUAAAAAAAAAAAAGAACUCCUCUUGAAAACACUGCUGUUGUGUUCAUCAGCCUGAUGAAAAGCUUUAUAUUUUCCCAGACUUCUCUGAAAAUGUGCCUGGUAGCAGUUCACGCAGGAACACUUGCUUCGCUGUGUCCUAUAUCUCUGUGUGCAGUCCCGGUAAACGGUAUUUGGGCUGUAGACACAUACGUACAACCUUUCAUUUGUGUUUGGUAGAAGACAUGCAUAACUACCACGUUUUGCUGAGUUCAAUUGUACAUUACAGAGACGUAUGUUUUAUCUGGACAGAUAGUAUGCAGUUGUUACUGAUGUACAUGCUUGUGGAGGUUGACCACUCACAGUAAGACCUUAAAGAUGGAACAGCAUGUGCCUGUGAUCAUAUCUGGGAGCAAGAAACCCCACGUCUACAGAAGGCAUCAUGGCAGCCGCAUACAUUGCCUUGUAUCUAACCACUCUGCCCUGCCACAGAUGGAAUGGGACCACAAGUAAGCUCAGGCGUUUUUAACACGUCCCAUUUCUUUAAUAGAGGUCGGCACACCAGCCCCCCCCCACCAGUUAAUAAUUAACUGGCCAACUUGACCAAUGGUGUUCAGGCCCAUCUGUAUUUAACUGAACUGGAUUCCCAGUGCCCCCCUCCACGUCUGACAGGACUUGGAUCUAAUUUCUCACUCGUCAACGCACAGAGUUGUGAAAAAGGGACCUAGAUAUGCAUGAUCCCGUAAACUGUAAGCCCAGGCAGAACACUGCUGUUGUAUAUAUUUUACUAUUACACACGGUUGAGAUUGACUGUAAGACAACCAACAUACUAUAUUAUCAAUCAUCUGUGCAAGAUGUUUGGGCUGUGUGUAUAUAUGUUUGGUCUGUCUCCAAAGCAUACAGCAGAUGCUGUCAUUUCUGAUAUAGCCUAUAAUGUACUGCUGACUGGAACCUGUUCAUGUAACAGAUCGAGGUACACGAUCAUGGGAUGGGAAGGUGUGUUUUGUAGUGUCCAAUGUUCUAAGUGGUGGUAUGUGUAGUAAUUUAUUGAGCAGAAUUCCACUGUUCCUCUGUUCUUUCAGGUGGGUAGGCAACACGCCAUAAUAAAUCCACAAUGAUUUACAUAGA